AUUGAACGCUGGCGGCAUGCUUUACACAUGCAAGUCGAACGGCAGCGCGGGCUUCGGCCUGGCUGCGAGUGGCGAACGGGUGAGUAAUGCAUCGGAACGUGCCCAGUAGUGGGGGAUAGCCCGGCGAAAGCCGGAUUAAUACCGCAUACGACCUGAGGGUGAAAGCGGGGGACCGAAAGGCCUCGCGCUAUUGGAGCGGCCGAUGUCGGAUUAGCUAGUUGGUGGGGUAAAGGCUUACCAAGGCGACGAUCCGUAGCUGGUCUGAGAGGACGACCAGCCACAGUGGAACUGAGACAAGGUCAAGACGCCUACGGGAGGCAGCAGGGGGGAAUAUGGGAGAAUGGGAGCAAGACUGAUCCAGGAAUAAAGCGUGGGGGAAGAAGGAAUUCGGGUUGUAAAGACCGUGUGGGGGGAAAGAAAAGCAGCAGGUUAAUACCCAGCGGUUAUGAAGGGACAAAAAGAAGAAGCAACGGCUAAAUGCGUG
rnacentral:rRNA from 1 species